rnacentral:rRNA from 1 species
GGGGGAUAUUGCACAAUGGAGGAAACUCUGAUGCAGCGACGCCGCGUGAGGGAAGAAGGUUUUCGGAUUGUAAACCUCUGUCUUCGGGGACGAAACAAAUGACGGUAACCGGAGAAGAAGCCCCGGCUAACUUCGUGCCAGCAGCCGCGGUAAUACGAAGGGGGCUAGCGUUGCUCGGAAUCACUGGGCGUAAAGCGCACGUAGGCGGAUCGUUAAGUCAGGGGUGAAAUCCUGGGGCUCAACCUCAGAACUGCCCUUGAUACUGGCGAUCUCGAGUUCGAGAGAGGUGGGUGGAACUCCGAGUGUAGAGGUGAAAUUCGUAGAUAUUCGGAAGAACACCAGUGGCGAAGGCGGCCAACUGGCUCGAUACUGACGCUGAGGUGCGCAAGCGUGGGGAGCAAACA